CAGUAGCCGCGGGAAUACAGAGGGUGCGAGCGUUAAUCGGGUUUACUGGGCGUAAAGCGUGCGUAGGCGGCUUUUUAAGUCGGAUGUGAAAUCCCUGAGCUUAACUUAGGAAUUGCAUUCGAUACUGGGAAGCUAGAGUAUGGGAGAGGAUGGUAGAAUUCCAGGUGUAGCGGUGAAAUGCGUAGAGAUCUGGAGGAAUACCGAUGGCGAAGGCAGCCAUCUGGCCUAAUACUGACGCUGAGGUACGAAAGCAUGGGGAGCAAACAGGAUUAGAUACCCGCGUAGUCCCUGUCUCUUAUAC
rnacentral:rRNA from 1 species